UACGUAGGGGGCAAGCGUUGUCCGGAAUCAUUGGGCGUAAAGAGCGUGUAGGCGGCUUGGUAAGUCCGCUGUGAAAGUCCAGGGCUCAACCCUGGAAUGCCGGUGGAAACUGUCAAGCUUGAGUCCGGAAGAGGCGAGUGGAAUUCCUGGUGUAGCGGUGAAAUGCGCAGAUAUCAGGAGGAACACCGGUGGCGAAGGCGGGUCUCUGGGCCGAUACUGACGCUGAGGAGCGAAAGCUAGGGGAGCAAACGGG
rnacentral:rRNA from 1 species